rnacentral:rRNA from 1 species
AUCGAACGCUGGCGGCAGGCCUAACACAUGCAAGUCGAACGUGUGGCGGACGGGUGAGUAAUGUCUGGGAACUUGCUCGUUGGAGGGGGAUAACUACUGGAAACGGUAGCUAUUACCGCAUACCAUCGGAUGUGCCUAGAUGGGAUUAGCUGGUGGGUGGGGUAACGGCUCACAAAGGCGACGACCCCUAGCUGGUCUGAGAGGAUGACCAGCCACACGGGAACUGAGACACGGUCCAAACUCCUACGGGAGGCGCAGGUGGGGAAUAUUGGACAAUGGGCGAAAGCCUGAGGCAGACAUGCCGCGUGUAUGAAGAAGGCCUUCGGGUUGUAAAGUACUUUCAGCGAGGAGGCGUUACUCGCAGAAGAAGCACCGGCUAACUCCGUGCCAGCCGCCGCGGUAAUAC